UACGAAGGGGGCUAGCGUUGCUCGGAAUCACUGGGCGUAAAGGGCGCGUAGGCGGUCUUUUAAGUCGGGGGUGAAAGCCUGUGGCUCAACCACAGAAUUGCCUUCGAUACUGGGAGACUUGAGUUCGGAAGAGGUUGGUGGAACUGCGAGUGUAGAGGUGAAAUUCGUAGAUAUUCGCAAGAACACCAGUGGCGAAGGCGGCUCACUGGCCCGAUACUGACGCUGAGGCACGAAAGCGUGGGGAGCAAACAGG
rnacentral:rRNA from 1 species